UGGCAGCUGGGCUGAUGGCUCGGGCCCGCGGCGGUCGGCUGCGCCGGCCUUGCGACCCUCGCGGGGUUGAUGGCUCGGGCCCGCGGCGGUCGGC
rnacentral:tRNA from 1 species